UCUGACUGGCCCUGCAGGAGAUGGAGACUGACUGUCCAUGGGUGACGAGCUUGGAGAGAGGAGUCUGGGUCAUCACAAUAUCUCUACUGGUUCCAGUAGAAAUCACAGAGCAAUCUAAGAUUAUGUAGAAAAUUUAAGAAAUGUUUUUCCAUUUUUUUGUACAUUUAAGGCUAAAUUAAUUUUUGUUUUUGAUUUAUACAUCCUAAACUAUUCAUAUAUAUAAAGAACUCUACUUGAGUAAGUUCUAAGAGCCUCUCUAGAAUUCCCUUCAACAUACCACUCAUAUUAUGUGAAAACUUUUAUCAGAGCCAGUCUUUAGCUCCUUCUGAAAUACUGUCUCACAUAAAUUGACCUCAGCUGCCUCAUCCUGGAGGACAAACCUGCUCAUCCCUCAUGUGGACACAGCACACAUGGGAAGAAUGAGGCCCCAGGGCUCACCACCCUCCCCCUUCUCUUUCCCCAUUCCCUCUGUCCACACCAGGGAUCCAGAGGAGGAGCAGCCCCAGAAGCUGAGCAGGGAGCUUCACUUUGAGAAGCUGACCUGAGGAGUCCUGCCAGAGCAUGCAGUGGAAGAGAUUCAAGAGCUUCUAGUGUCUGAUGAUACCUGCAGAAAUACAAGAGCAUCAGGGACAGUUUAGAUGUCACAUUUUCUUCACCCAGUGAAUGAAAUAAGAAUACAAGUGUGAAAAGAAGCUGGAGGGAAGAGAAAUCUUGUUUCAGCUGAAGAACAAGUAGCCCUGCACAAGAAAAGAGGACAAGGAGCAUGUCCCCUGACGUAGUUAAUGUGAAGCUCCUGGGGCGAGGCUGUGGUCUUCCUGUGCUUUUUCUGAAUGAGCAGAAGGAAACAAAAUGAAGGAAAAUAUGUUGAAACGCACUCGGAAGGAACAGGAAAUGUGCAGAGUCUCAGAAAAUUCCAGAGCACAGGACCCUUUGGGAGAAAGUGGUGGGCAGAUCACUCCUCUGUCUUCUCCUUGCCCUAAAGACAUCCUCAGGGUGUUUCCUUGGGGAUCUCAUGAUGUGCCUGAGCCAUCUCAGGUGCAGUUUAGAUCUGUUUAUCUUAACUGAUUUCCAUAGUUUAUACCUGAAUUCCUUGUAAAGAUAUUUUAUAGGUAAGUAGAUUUCCCUUUUCCAUGAAUAUGCGUCAGUGCCCUAUUUACUAUUGUAAAUGCUCCUGUUGGUGCAAUGGAGCUCUGCAAUACGGAUGGUUCCCUGGGCACAAUCUGCAGGCAGGGGAUACACUGUACUCCAUGUUAGUCCCUGGUGCCCUCUCUUUCCAUUUCUUUCAUCCCCACUCCCUCCCUCCUCUCUCCAGUCCUCCUUCUCCUCAUUCAUUUGGUCCUUUGUUAUUAGUGGGCUCUAGACCUCUGUGGAGCUGGGCUCACUGCUGUGCUGUAGUGUCUGUUUCGAAGCACAUGUUGUCAUGUGGUGCAUUCCUUCCACAUUUUCUCCCUGUCCCAGUCUCCUCCUCCCAUCUCUGUCUCCUUUGCCUCUGGUCAUCCUUCUCUCCUUAUGACACCUUACCCCCCUUUCCUCUUCCUUUGCUCCAGAUUUUGCUCAGCAGUGUGACAUGGGAUCCUCACUUUCCAGAAUCUGGCUCUUUCACUUGUCAUGAUGUUCUCCACUUCCAUUCAUUUACCUAAAAUUCUGCCAUUUCCUUCUUCUUUAAGGCCCCAGGUUCAGCCUGGAUUGUGUGGGUGUGAACAGAUAAGGAGGACCUCUGUGGCAGAAGAAGGCAGAACCUGACCACACUGCAGAGAGAGCAGAGAGCUCAGGGUGCCCUCAGCCAUGAGCCAUGUGGGACAAUUGCUUCUUGUGUUUAGUUUUCUGAUCCUUCUGAUGAGAUAUGUCAGUGUAAUGUCUCUCCUAGUUUUCUGUGUCUGAGCAACAAGUUCCCCCCUAUUGAGCAGUGUGUUCCUUUCCAGGCCUGUCCCUCUGUAGUCCAGGAUAGGUCCUCAGCUCAGCCUGAAAAGACUGAAAUGGAACAGUCAGUGGCAGCUUUCCUUUCUGAAGUUCAGGGUCUUCUUCCAGGUCCUGUGGCUGUAGCAGAGUCACCUUUCCACAGUUGUAGUGUAAGGUCCCAAUUUCCCUUUGGCCAUUAGCACAGAGCUCCUGGAAGCUGCCCUAAUUGUUUGAAAUGUGUCUCCUGCUGCCUACAAGAGCUGCAUUAUAGCAUCUCUUCACAUCCAGUCUUCAUGGCCUGAGAUUCUCCUUCUUCUCCUUCAUGUGUAGAUGGACGUGUGUCAGUGAUGAAGACAGAUCUAGUGUGUACUCUCUCUCUCUCUCUCUCUCUCUCUCU